rnacentral:rRNA from 1 species
AGUGAACGCUGGCGGCAUGCCUAAUACAUGCAAGUCGAACGGCAGCACAGGAAGCGUUCUCCUCUACGGUUGGCGACUGGCGGACGGGUGAGGCAUACAUCGCAUACUUCUAUUUCGUGGGUGACAACGUAGGACCACAUAUGCUAACACCGCAUAUGUUCAACGGCUUGAUGCAGUAGUUCAUCGGAGUUUUGCUGACACUAUUAGCUGAGGUCGGAUUAGCUAGGUGGCUGGGUAAAGGCCCACCAAGGCGACGCACCGUAGCUGGUCUGAGAGGAUGAUCAGCCACACUGGAACUGAGACACGGUCCAGACUCCUACGGGAGGCAGCAGUGGGGAAUAUUGGACAAUGGGCGCAAGCCUGAUCCAGCCAUACCGCGUGGGUGAAGAAGGCCUUCGGGUUGUAAAGCCCUUUUGUUGGGGAAGAAAAGCAGCAGGUUAAUACCCCGCUGUUCUGACGGUACCCAAAGAAUAAGCACCGGCUAACUUCGUG